rnacentral:rRNA from 1 species
CCUACGGGAGGCAGCAGUGAGGAAUAUUGGUCAAUGGACGAGAGUCUGAACCAGCCAAAUAGCGUGAAGGAUGACUGCCCUAUGGGUUGUAAACUUCUUUUAUAUGGGAAUAAAAUGUUCCACGUGUGGGAUUUUGUAUGUACCCUAUGAAUAAGGAUCGGCUAACUCCGUGCCAGCAGCCGCGGUAAUACGGAGGAUCCGAGCGUUAUCCGGAUUUAUUGGGUUUAAAGGGAGCGUAGGUGGAUUGUUAAGUCAGUUGUGAAAGUUUGCGGCUCAACCGUAAAAUUGCAGUUGAAACUGGCAGUCGUGAGUACAGUAGAGGUGGGCGGAAUUCGUGGUGUAGCGGUGAAAUGCUUAGAUAUCACGAAGAACUCCGAUUGCGAAGGCAGCUCACUGGACUGCAACUGACACUGAGGCUCGAAAGUGUGGGUAUCAAACAGGAUUAGAUACCCCAGUAGUC